UAAAUAAUUUUAAAAGUUAUCAAAGGAAAUCUUGAUAGAAAAAUAAAGACGUCGCGCGACGAAACAUCAUAGGAAGGCACUUGCUUAUGAACUAUGAGUCUUUUUAAGAAAACUCGCAUUUAAUAUGCUUAAUAACAUUUAUGUGAAUUGAAUCAUCUUAGUAACAUAAUAAAAAAUCAAACGAGAACUUGUAAGUAACGGUGAGUGAACACAAGCUUAGCAAAAUGUUGAAAUCCAGAGAAGGUGUCUCAAGUCCUUUACAGCAUUAAUAAGAAUACAAAGUAGUAUGAUUAACUUUUGUACGAAAAUAGGAGUACCAUCUUCUAAGCUAAAAAAUUUUUCUAAUCGAUAGUGAACGAGUACCGUGAGGGAAAGAUUUAAAUUUGUUAAUUUAUAUUUAUUUGAAGUUGAUGAAUGCAACUACAAAGUGCCUUUUGCAUAAUGAGUCAGUAAGUUAAUAUAUGUAGCAAGCUUGAAAAUAUUUAGGCAUUCUAAGUUACAUGCAUUAGACCCGAAGCCAAGUGAUCUAUUCUUAAACAAGUUGAAGAUGUUUUAAAAUGCAUUGGAGGGCUGAACCCACGUCUGUUGAAAAAUACGGGGACGAUUUAAGAAUAGGGGUGAAAGUCCAAUCAAACUUGGUGAUAGCUGGUUUUCCGCGAAAACUAUCAAAGUAGUACGUUGCUUUUCAAAAAUGUGGGUAGAGCUACUUAUUAAACUUAGAUUUUGCUAAGUUUUAUUAAACUCCAAAUUAUAUUUUUAUUUAGCAGCAGACAGUCAUUAGGCGAUAAGGUUCAAUGUCAAAAGGGAAACAACCCUAAUCGAUGGUUAAGAUCUUAAAAUUAUGAAUUAGUGAAAAAAUGAAAAGUAAUUCGAAUAAACAGAGUAGGCUUAGAAGCAGCCAUCUAUUGGAGAAAGCGUUUUAGCUCAUUAUUUUUACUUAUUUUACUCAUUUAAAAUGUAAGGAGACUUAAAUUCAUAUAUCGAAGCUUCGAAUUAAGUUUAAUUUUUCUUAAUGGUAGCGGAACGUCCUGUAGUCUUUUCUGUUAAUGUUAAAUUGCAUAUUAAAAAUCAGGAGUGCUAAUGCUGACAUGAGUAGCGUCAACCAUGUUGAAAAUAAAUCAUGGUCGUCUAUUGCUCAAGGGUUUCCAGUAAAUUUUAAGUAACUGGGUUUAGUCGGCCCUUAAAAAAAAAGUGAAAACUGUACUUGAUAGGAAAAUUAUUCCGCAUGUUUGCAAAAUAUUUUUGUGUAAAAAAGUACUUUUAAAAGUUUUGCUUAAUAAACUAGCAACUUAAAAAAAGUAUUUUUCAGGAAAAUUUGCAUGAAGUUUGACCGUACUUAGAACCGACACAGGUGAGCUUAUUGAGAAGAUAAAGACGAAUGAGAUAAUUAUACUUAAGGAACUCGGCAAAUUUGCUCCGUACGUUCGCAACAAGGAGUACCUUAAAGGAUUCAAAAAUUAGGGGUAGCGACUGUUUAACAAAAACUCAAAACUUUGCAAAUUCGAAAGAAGACGUAUAAGGUUUGACGCCUGCCCAGUGCUUGAAAGCGAAAAAUACACGUUAACGCUUGUAUCAUAAACUCAAGUAAACGGCGGUCUUAACUAUAAGGAUCCUCAGGUAGCGAAAUUCCUUGGCGGGUAAAUUCCGUCCUGCAUGAAUGGCGUCACGACUACCCCACUGUCUCUAGUAUAAACUCAGCGAAAUUACAUUGUCUGUGAAAAUGCAGACAUCCUACAACAAGACGGAAAGACCCUAUGAUUCUUAACUAUAAUUUUACGUCGCAAUAAUUUUGUGUACAGUACAGUAAAAGUAGGAGUAUACUUAUACAAUUUUGAAAAACUACUCUGUACAUAAGAAAUUGCUUACUGAAGAGAAAAUAUGUAAAAGUGGUAGUUUACUUGGGACGAGGACCUCCUAAACUGUAACGGAGGUGCACAAAAGUAAAUUUUAAUUAGUUUUUUGUAUUAAUAAAAUAUGUAAUGGUAAAAAUUUGCUUGACGGUAAGAGUUACAACUCAAACCGGGACGAAAGUCGGUCAUAAUGAUCCGGCAGUAAUGUAUGGAAAGUAGCGUGAGGGUCACGAGAGGGCCGGGAUCGCCGGUCCGGGAUGCUCCCAUACCGGGGGCGGAUGCUUGACGGUAAGAGUUACAACUCAAACCGGGACGAAAGUCGGUCAUAAUGAUCCGGCAGUAAUGUAUGGAAAUACUGUCGCUUAUCGGAAAAAAGAAACUCUAGGGAUAACAGAUUUAUCAUGGCUGAGAGUUCUUAUCGACGCCAUGGUUUGAUACCUCGAUGUCGGCUCAUCUUUUCCUGGAGCUGUAACAGGUUCCAAGGGUAUGGUUGUUCGCCAAAUAAUAAGAUACGUGAGCUGGGUUCAGAACGUCGUGAGACAGUUCGGUCCCUAUCUGUUGUGGGUAAGAAAUGUACUUCUCGUAAAUAGCUAAUCUCCACUUUAGGGAUUAAACUAAUAUUACAGGUAGGAAGCUAGUUCAUACAGAUCUAGUGGGCCUAUGCAUUACUCCUAAUGCUGAUCAAUGAGCUGUGUUACAAGCAGUGAACCCUAUGCAACGUGAAAAUAGUCAUUCACGGAGUAUAAGCAGGGCAUAAAUUUAAGUGGAUGUUACUUAUAAACAUUUUAACUCGAAGAGAAUAUAUAAAUCAGUAAAUCUGUC
rnacentral:rRNA from 1 species